GAUGAACGCUGGCGGCGUGCCUAACACAUGCAAGUCGAGCGAACAGACGAGGAGCUUGCUCCUCUGACGUUAGCGGCGGACGGGUGAGUAACACGUGGAUAACCUACCUAUAAGACUGGGAUAAUUUCGGGAAACCGGAUCUAAUACCGGAUAAUAUAUUGAACCGCAUGGUUCAAUAGUGAAAGACGGCUUUGCUGUCACUAAUAGAUGGUUCCGGGCCGCAUUAGCUAGUUGGUAGGGUAACGGCUUACCAAGGCAACGAUGCGUAGCCGACCUGAGAGGGUGAUCGGCCACGCUGGAACUGAGACACGGUCCAGACUCCUACGGGAGGCAGCAGUAGGGAAUCUUACGCAAUGGGCGAAAGCCUGACGGAGCAACGCCGCGUGAGUGAUGAAGGUCUUCGGAUCGUAAAGCUCUGUUAUUAGGGAAGAACAGAUGUGUAAGUAAAUAUGCACGUCUUGACGGUACCUAAUCAAAAAGCCACGGCUAACUACGUG
rnacentral:rRNA from 1 species